AAAACUUUCAACAACGGAUCUCUUGGCUUUGGCAUCGAUGAAGAACGCAGCGAAAUGCGAUAAGUAAUGUGAAUUGCAGAAUUCAGUGAAUCAUCGAAUCUUUGAACGCACAUUGCGCCCAUUAGUAUUCUAGCGGGCAUGCCUGUUCGAGCGUCAUU
rnacentral:rRNA from 1 species